AUUGAACGCUAGCGGGAUGCUUUACACAUGCAAGUCGAACGAGUGGCGGACGGGUGAGUAAUCUAUCGGAACGUGCCCAGUAGCGGGGGAUAACUACUCGAAAGAGUGGCUAAUACCGCAUACUCUUGGAGGGGCCGAUAUGGGAUUCGCUAGUGGGGGGGGUAAAGGCUCACCAAGGCAACGAUCCGUAGCUGGUUUGAGAGGACGACCAGCCACACUGGGACUGAGACACGGCCCAGACUCCUACGUGAGGCAGCAGUGGGGAAUUUUGGACAAUGGGGGCAACCCUGAUGCAGCCAUCCCGCGUGUAUGAGAAGGCCUUCGGGUUGUAAAGUACUUUUAGCAGAGAAGCGGUAUCUGCAGAAGAAGCACCGGCUAACUACGUGCCAGCCGCCGCGGUAAUUC
rnacentral:rRNA from 1 species